GGCAAUGGACGGAAGUCUGACCGAGCAACGCCGCGUGAGUGAAGAAGGUUUUCGGAUCGUAAAGCUCUGUUGUAAGAGAAGAACGAGUGUGAGAGUGGAAAGUUCACACUGUGACGGUAUCUUACCAGAAAGGGACGGCUAACUACGUGCCAGCAGCCGCGGUAAUACGUAGGUCCCGAGCGUUGUCCGGAUUUAUUGGGCGUAAAGCGAGCGCAGGCGGUUAGAUAAGUCUGAAGUUAAAGGCUGUGGGCUUAACCAUAGUACGCUUUGGAAACUGUGUAACUUGAGUGCAAGAGGGGAGAGUGGAAUUCCAUGUGUAGCGGUGAAAUGCGUAGAUAUAUGGAGGAACACCGGUGGCGAAAGCGGCUCUCUGGCUUGUAACUGACGCUGAGGCUCGAAAGCGUGGGGAGCAACAGGAUUAGAUACCCUGGUAGUCCACGCCGUAAACGAUGAGUGCUAGGUGUGAGAACCUUCCGGGGGUUUAGUGCCGCAGCUAACGCAUUAAGCACACCGCCUGGGGGAGUACGAAC
rnacentral:rRNA from 1 species